rnacentral:rRNA from 1 species
GUCUACGGCCAUGCCACCCUGAACAAGCCCGAUUCCGUCUGAUUUCAGAAGCUAAGCAGGGUCGGGCCUGGUUAGUACUUAGAUAGGAGACCACCCAGGAAGACCAGGUGCUGUAGGCA